rnacentral:rRNA from 1 species
UUUGGAACUCUAAAAAAACUGCCGGUUAUAAACCGGAGGAAGGCGGGGAUGACGUCAAGUCAGCAUGCCCCUUACAUCCUGGGCUACACACGUGCUACAAUGGUGGUGACAGUGGGUUAAUCCCCAAAAGCCAUCUCAGUUCGGAUUGUCCUCUGCAACUCGAGGGCAUGAAGUUGGAAUCGCUAGUAAUCGCGGAACAGCAUGCCGCGGUGAAUACGUUCCCGGGCCUUGUACACACCGCCCGUCACACCAUGGAAGCUGGUUAUACCCGAAGUCAUUACUCUAACCAAUUUGGAGGAGAAUGCCUAAGGUAGAAUUGGUGACUAGGGUGAAGUCGUAACAAGGUAACCGUACUGGAAGGUGCGGUUGGAUCACCUCCUU